AAUAAACGAGAGUCGGUUUAUUGAAGGUAUACAAGAAUAAAAAUAAUAAUCAUAGGAGGAAGAAGGGUUUUAGCAAGGAAGGGAGUUACGGGAGGAACUCUUGAAAUAAGGAGGAGGGGGUCGAGCUUUUGGAGGGGAUAUUCAUGCUUAUUUUCACUUUGAGCUUUGUGAGCAGUUAGAACAGAGACAAGAUCAGAGUUUCAAAUAGAGUAUCUGUUAAUUAUCAGGAAUAAGAUAUCAAUGAUUCGUGGGUUGAUGUGAGUUACAGUUAUUAUAAGGGUCGGCGGCUGACGCAUUUUGGCAACCUUCUCCUCUUCAUCAUUUUUGCUUGUAGAUAAAUUUAUAGUAUAUAGAGUGGUCAGAGGGUCCCACUGCUUUUCAUAAUGUUUUAAAAUAUGUAUUUGAUAAGAUGUUUGUUUUUGAAAUGAUAUAAUAUGUUUGUUUUAUUUA